CCUCGUCGACCAGUUGCGGGCAGAUGAAGUGGACGUGGGCGUCGAUGGCGCCGGCCGUGAGGAUCCGGCCGUUGCCGGCGAUGAUCUCCGUCUCCGGGCCGAUCACCAGCGCGGGGUGGACCCCGUCCAUGGUCUCGGGGUUGCCGGCCUUGCCCAGGGCGGUGAUCCGGCCGUCGCGGAUGCCCACGUCGGCCUUGACCACGCCCCAGUGGUCGAGCACGAUCGCGCCGGUGAUCACGGUGUCCGGGGCGCCCUGGGCCCGGGUGAGGCGGGACUGGCCCAUGGAUUCGCGGA
rfam:Streptomyces cattleya DSM 46488, complete genome.